rnacentral:rRNA from 1 species
AUUGAACGCUGGCGGCAGGCCUAACACAUGCAAGUCGAACGAGUGGCGGACGGGUGAGUAAUGUCUGGGAAACUGCCCGAUGGAGGGGGAUAACUACUGGAAACGGUAGCUAAUACCGCAUACCAUCGGAUGUGCCCAGAUGGGAUUAGCUAGUAGGUGGGGUAACGGCUCACCUAGGCGACGAUCCCUAGCCGGUCUGAGAGGAUGACCAGCCACACUGGAACUGAGACACGGUCCAGACUCCUACGGGAGGCAGCAGUUGGGAAUAUUGCACAAUGGGCGAAAGCCUGACGGAGCCAUGCCGCGUGGAUGAAGAAGGUCUUCGGGUUGGAAAGCUCUUUUAGUCGGGAAGCGUUACUCGCAGAAGAAGCACCGGCUAACUCCGUGCCAGCAGCCGCGGUAAUAC